GACGAACGCUGGCGGCGCGCCUAACACAUGCAAGUCGAACGGAGGCAAGAGGAGCUUGCUUUUCUUGACUUAGUGGCGAACGGGUGAGUAACGCGUGAGUAACCUGCCCUGGAGUGGGGGACAACAGCUGGAAACGACUGCUAAUACCGCAUAAGCCCACGAAUCUGCAUGGUUCUGCGUGAAAAGGGGUUAUUCUCUCUAGGAUGGACGCGAGCCCACUUCAUUAGUUAGUUAGGUAACGAGCCACCAAGGAGACAAAUGAUAGACUGACAGAGAGGUUGGGCCGACACACUGGGACUGGGACACGGCCCAGACUCCUACGGGAUGCAGGAGUGGGGGGUAUUGCAACAUGGCGUAAACCCUGAUGCAGCGACGACGCGUGGAGGAAGAAGGUAUGCGGAUUGUAAACUGCAGUCGUCAGUGACGAUCAUGACGGUACCUAAUAAGAAAGCCACAGCUAACUACGUG
rnacentral:rRNA from 1 species